GGAGCAGCAUGAUUUAAUAAACAGUCAUUUUAUUUCUUCUCUCUGUCUAGCAAUCUCCUGAUGAGAAGCCUCAAGGAGUACAUUAUGUCUCCUGGAUCCAUUUAAAUGAUUUGCAUGAAAGAUGUGUUGAAAACUGAUUCGGGCGUCCUAAUCAAGCAAGCUUACUCAUGAGACGAUCUGUCUAUAUAAUGCUCUUCAUCCUUUUGUGCUUCUCAGGCACAUUGAUGGAUGUUAUUAUUAUCCGCAUAGUCAUUUUAUUUAAAGUCUGAGAAACUCGAAGCGUAUGUACAGACGUGCCGUCUACAACGCUCAGAGAUUCAUCUAAUUCACGGGAAAGCGAAAAUGUCAGCAGCGACUCUACUAAAAAUUUGCUGAGCUGAAAUUUUAUUUUGUCAGAAGCUCAGAUGUUGAAUGCACAUUGAUUAGCUGCGUCUUUCCAAAUGCAGAUUUGAUGUGCCACCAACUGAAAGGAUCCAGUGACAAUGAGAAAAGGGAAUUUAAGCGGCGGGUGCCUUCAUCAAAACUGAAAACGGAUAUGCGCUUCUCCUUUUUAACGCUUGCCACAUCUCAUAACCAACCGGUGUGCCUUUUUUCUUCACACUUCAAUAUUUUGACUUCACAGUCAAUUAUUUUUUUCAGUUCCUUCCGGCUCAUCGUCACUUCUGAGACAGACUGACAGCAGAGGGGGUCCGCUACAAAGGAAGCAAUCUUCAGUGCGGUCAGGUCUGCCAUUGGACUAUAAGGAAUGGCUGAUUUUUCCUGACUGACCGUGAGAACUUAAAAUGCGUGAGUGCAGGAGGAGCCGAGCACGGAAAGCCAUGCCAGAGUCAUUGGAAAAAUCGGUAGUAAGACUGUCACGCUGUUGUGACAGAGUAAGACGUGCAGAAGGGCCUGUGCAAUCACAGGACCAUCCACCCAUGCAGUUUCCUCCAGAGCUCUGUCAGAGCUCAGAAAUCACACAGCCGAGCCGGGUCUGCGCUCCACGCUGGGUUACUGAGCACUCACAAAUAAGCCACCGCUACAUGCCACAGAGUCAGUCCUUCCUAUUCAUCUCCAUAUUUGAGCCAUUGUGACCAGCCCUGCAGUCGAAUGCCUAUCAGCUGAUCUGGUACAGGGUCUGAAUCUAAAAUUUAUGGAGUGGGGAUGCUUGUCUUUAUGUGUUGCACUCACUCAGUGUACGUGUGAGUUCAUCAAACUGAAAUAUAAUUUCUGACAUAGCCAAUAGCCAGAGUCAUGAUUUGUUACCAGAAUAGACUCCUUAUUUUUGAUAAAGGUAUUGGUUUUCUGAUGUUAUGGAUGGUUUGCUGGCAUUACUGGCAAACUUUAUAUGAUUUAAGUCUAAUAAUGAUUUCUCGAGAAAUGUAUGACAGUAUGUUGCAAGCAACACAUAUAUUGCAAACAUUUCAUUAUAGUAGAUGUUUUACCAGUGCCCCAGCUUUUUAGAGGGCUCUAAAAAAGAUAAAACAGGCCUUUUCCCCCAAUAGCAAACAGUUCACUUUCCACAAGAAGUAUACAUUUUCUUGGUAUUUCUAAAUAACCACAUUUUCUGCUACCCCAGCAGCUCUUGCAGGAUUGUGCAUCAUUCAGAACUGCAAUUUAAAUUUGAAUUGGAAAAAAAAAGAAAGAAAGAAAGAAAGAAAGAAAAAGAAAGAAAGAAGGAAAAUCACAUUUGACAGUAUAGCAUUUCAGUAUUGGCUAGUUUACAAAUAUGUAUAAACAGUUUAAACUGAAGGUUUCUAGGCCUUAAGUACAGAUGGAUGAUGGAAGGAUGGAUAAAAUUUAGUAUUUAUUUUAGUACUAAGAUUAGUAAAAUGAUUUAAUUUGAAAUUUUAUUAAAGAUUAAAGAAGUAAAAUUAGUAUUCAUUUUUAUAGUAAUAGUUUACUAUAGUAUAUAGUGUCUUAUACUGUAGAUAGAUAGAUAGAUAGAUAGAUAGAUAAACAGCAUUCUUUUACUAUUGACUACAUUGUGAAAAAGGGUUUUUUGUAGUUGUAAAGAUCACAUUUAAUUCAUUGUUUUACUUAUCAUUUCUUUGUAAUUAUUUAAGUUUACUAGCAAUUUUUGAACGAUUUUUAUUAUUUUACUAUCAUUAAUUAAUUUAUUAUUAAUAAAUGUAUUUAUUUAUUAAUUGAUUCAGUAAGUAUGUAUUUUACUGUUAUUAAUUGCAUUGAUAGAUAAAUAGAGCCUGAGUUUGGGUGGUCUCUGGUCUUUUUUUUAUUUUAUUUUUUUAGGUUAAGCAGUGCACAAUAAAACAAGUUGAGUUGUCAGAGCUUGAGUUAAGUUUGUCUGAAGGUUGUUUUUAUUAACUCGGUUGAGUUAGUUGACACAGCUGGACAUAUGACUUCAACAAAUCAGCCACCGUGCAGACAGCCUGUCUUAAGUAGAAUAAAAUAAUAGGAUAAAAUAGUCUUUUCUAGGCCAAUGAUAUGACUGGAGUUUUCAUUGAAAGCAAGUUCACAUCAUUUCAAACAGAUUUGUCAAAACUAGUUUGCAUUUCUUUAGGUAUAAAACUUAAAAUGAACAAAAAAUUGCACUGUCUGCACAACAGUAUGUUAUGAGAGUUGACGUGGUGUCUGUAUCUCCCUUUCUUUUCAAAAUGAAACCUUUCGUUGACCUUUAUGUCUUUCUCUGCUGUACUGAACACAAACUCUAUGAAUAAAACCACUUCUGGAAAGUGGCAAGGUUAUUUGGUGUCUAUACACAUGGCGUGAGUUACAGGGGAAUAAAAGCAGGCCAAUUUAAAUGUUCUGUUAACUACUAUCCCAAAGGGACAUGUUGUUCCACACUUCCCACCUUGCUUGAGUGGGUUCACAUAAGGGCCAGAAUAGGAAAUGCAAGUGUCUGAGCAAGAAUGGAUUAAAAAUGGUCCUCCAUAACAAAAGGGAAGAUGUUUAAAUGCAUUACCAAUCUACGUCUGGUGAGAAUAUAUAUCCUGAGAGAGAACACUUCUGCAAACACCAAAAAGGUAAAUAAAGGGGCUCAUGUGUUAUCAUUUAGCUGAGGCGCCAGCUGUGUCUUCUUAUUCUGUUUUUUUUUUUUUUUUACGCAGUGUAAUUUCUCACAGCGGUGUCAUUCAAACGGGUGUCUUCAAUUUAGCCAGGCGAUGAGAAAUGCUGGAAAUUUCCUGCACGGAGCAAUGCGUUACAUUUUAAUAGAGCAACACCUGCGAGGGCAGGGGAAUAAUGGCUCUCUUGAAAUAAAUUAGUGGAGCUUUAUUGAGACCUGUCAUGGGCCAGACAAUGGCUCCCUGUGCCCAGAGAGCUCUUGUGUGCUAGCUGGAGAAUUCGUUUAAAAAGCUUGGAAACCCGAUUCCUUCACUUCCUCAAUUUCUUUCUUGUGACAGUCUUGCUACUUCCAUCCCGGACUUAAUUACCUUUUCAUUUUUCAUUUACCUCCAGAAUUGCCUCAAGCCUCAAUUUGCUCUCUUUGGAAGAAACGUGGAGGAAAAAUAGAACACCUAAAGUGAAUCUUUAAUAGUCUUAUGUAAUAUUACUUUGUAUGUGCCAUACUGCAUAGGUCUGUGGGGUGCACACAUAAUCCAAGAUGAACUAUACCUAAUAUUGAUGAGUAUAUUCCCUUCCAACUGGUGAUGUAAAAAAUUGUAUUUUCCAUCCAUUUGCAUUAAAC
ensembl:lncRNA